rnacentral:rRNA from 1 species
AAAGAGUGCGCAGGCGGUUAUGUAAGACAGAUGUGAAAUCCCCGGGCUCAACCUGGGAACUGCAUUUGUGACUGCAUGGCUAGAGUACGGUAGAGGGGGAUGGAAUUCCGCGUGUAGCAGUGAAAUGCGUAGAUAUGCGGAGGAACACCGAUGGCGAAGGCAAUCCCCUGGACCUGUACUGACGCUCAUGCACGAAAGCGUGGGGAGCAAACAGGAUUAGAUACCCCGGU